rnacentral:rRNA from 1 species
ACCUCGGAUCAGGUAGGGAUACCCGCUGAACUUAAGCAUAUCAAUAAGCGGAGGAAAAGAAACCAACAGGGAUUGCCUCAGUAACGGCGAGUGAAGCGGCAACAGCUCAAAUUUGAAAGCUGGCUCCUUCGGGGCCCGCGUUGUAAUUUGUAGAGGAUGCUUCGGGCGCGGCACCGGUCUAAGUUCUCUGGAACGAGACGUCAUAGAGGGUGAGAAUCCCGUAUGUGACUGGCUGCCUGUGCCCAUGUGAAGCUCCUUCGACGAGUCGAGUUGUUUGGGAAUGCAGCUCAAAAUGGGAGGUGUACUCCUUCUAAAGCUAAAUAUUGGCCAGAGACCGAUAGCGCACAAGUAGAGUGAUCGAAAGAUGAAAAGCACUUUGGAAAGAGAGUUAAACAGUACGUGAAAUUGUUGAAAGGGAAGCGCUUGCAAUCAGACUUG